rfam:TPA: Bos taurus chromosome 2, whole genome shotgun sequence.
AUAUAUAUGGCUCAGAGGAUAAAGAAUCUGCCUGCAAUGCAGGAGACCCAGGUUUGAUCCCUGGCUUGGUAUG